CCCAAACCAAUAAAGUUUUCUUUAUUGGGGUUGCGGACAUAUCAUAACGAAGAGGUAUCGUAAUUGAAGAGGUUUGGAAAGACCCACCACAGAAGGUAAUAGUCCUGUAUGUUAAACGAGAAGACUUUAGAUAUGAUCCAGAGUACAACGGGACACGAGAAACCCUGUGGGAAGCAGGAGGGACCACCCUCCAAGGCUAAAUACUACCUAGUGACCGAUAGCGUAUAGUACCGUGAGGGAAAGGUGAAAAGAACCCCGGGAGGGGAGUGAAAUAGAACCUGAAACCCUGCACUUACAAGCUGUGGAAGCACAUUUCUUGUGUGACCGCGUACUUUUUGUAGAACGGGCCAACGAGUUACGUUAAGUAGCAAGGUUAAGCACUUAAGGUGCGGAGCCGUAGCGAAAGCGAGUUUUAACUGAGCGUUCAGUUACUUGACGUAGACCCGAAACCGGGCGACCUACCCAUGAGCAGGAUGACGCGAAAGUAAAAUUUCGUGGAGGUCCGAACCCACGAGCGUUGAAAAGCUCGGGGAUGACGUGUGGGUAGCGGUGAAAUUCCAAUCGAGCCCGGNGAUAGAUGGCUCACUCCGAAAUAGAUUGAGGGCGAGCCUCAAGGUGAGAGAUACGGAGGUAGAGCACUGAAUGUCCUAGGGGGUAUUGCAACUACCGAAGA
rnacentral:rRNA from 1 species